AUUGAACGCUGGCGGCAUGCCUUACACAUGCAAGUCGAACGGUAACGCGGGGCAACCUGGCGACGAGUGGCGAACGGGUGAGUAAUACAUCGGAACGUGCCCAGUAGUGGGGGAUAGCCCGGCGAAAGCCGGACUAAUACCGCAUACGACCUACGGGUGAAAGCGGGGGAUCGCAAGACCUCGCGCUAUUGGAGCGGCCGAUGUCAGAUUAGCUAGCUGGUGGGGUAAAAGCCUACCAAGGCGACGAUCUGUAGCUGGUCUGAGAGGACGACCAGCCACACUGGGACUGAGACACGGCCCAGACUCCUACGGGAGGCAGCAGUGGGGAAUUUUGGACAAUGGGGGCAACCCUGAUCCAGCCAUGCCGCGUGCGGGAAGAAGGCCUUCGGGUUGUAAACCGCUUUUGUCGGGGAAGAAACGGUCUGCGCUAAUACCGCGGACUAAUGACGGUACCCGAAGAGUAAGCACCGGCUAACUACGUGCCAGCCGCCGCAGUAACAC
rnacentral:rRNA from 1 species